AGUGAACGCUGGCGGUAGGCCUAACACAUGCAAGUCGAACGGCAGCACAGUAAGAGCUUGCUCUUACGGGUGGCGAGUGGCGGACGGGUGAGGAAUACAUCGGAAUCUACUUUUUCGUGGGGGAUAACGUAGGGAAACUUACGCUAAUACCGCAUACGACCUACGGGUGAAAGCAGGGGAUCUUCGGACCUUGCGCGAUUGAAUGAGCCGAUGUCGGAUUAGCUAGUUGGCGGGGUAAAGGCCCACCAAGGCGACGAUCCGUAGCUGGUCUGAGAGGAUGAUCAGCCACCCUGGAGCUGAGACACGGUCCAGACUCCUACGGGAGGCAGCAGUGGGGAAUAUUGGACAAUGGGCGCAAGCCUUAUCCAGCCAUACCGCGUGGGUGAAGAAGGCCUUCGGGUUGUAAAGCCCUUUUGUUGGGAAAGAAAAGCAGCAGGUUAAUACCCCGCUGUUCUGACGGUACCCAAAGAAUAAGCACCGGCUAACUUCGUG
rnacentral:rRNA from 1 species